AUCUCUCCUCACAACAAAACCUACAUUUUCUUGUUCCCAAACUCUUUCUCUCGUCAUCGGACACACCCUCUCCUUUGCCCGAAGAGGGAAAAGACUGUUUUGUGUCGUGAUGGGGUGGAACGAGCUGCAGUGGGGUGGGGUUGUGUCGCGAAACACAAAUGGGAGGGGGUGCAAGGAUUUAGUGAAUUGGCAAAAGAGAGAUUUCAUAUAAUGUGUGGGUGAG
rnacentral:lncRNA from 1 species